UACGAAGGGGGCUAGCGUUGCUCGGAAUGACUGGGCGUAAAGGGCGCGUAGGCGGCGCAGUUAGUCAGGCGUGAAAUUCCUGGGCUCAACCUGGGGACUGCGCUUGAUACGGCUGUGCUUGAGGAUGGAAGAGGCUCGCGGAAUUCCCAGUGUAGAGGUGAAAUUCGUAGAUAUUGGGAAGAACACCGGUGGCGAAGGCGGCGAGCUGGUCCAUUACUGACGCUGAGGCGCGACAGCGUGGGGGAGCAAACAGG
rnacentral:rRNA from 1 species